UACGGAGGGGGCUAGCGUUGUUCGGAAUUACUGGGCGUAAAGCGCACGUAGGCGGACUGGAAAGUCAGGGGUGAAAUCCCGGGGCUCAACCCCGGAACUGCCUUUGAAACUCCCAGCCUUGAGGUCGAGAGAGGUGAGUGGAAUUCCGAGUGUAGAGGUGAAAUUCGUAGAUAUUCGGAGGAACACCAGUGGCGAAGGCGGCUCACUGGCUCGAUACUGACGCUGAGGUGCGAAAGCGUGGGGAGCAAACAUG
rnacentral:rRNA from 1 species